ensembl:snoRNA small nucleolar RNA SNORA2/SNORA34 family
CUGGCCCUGAAUCAAGGCUGACAGCUCCCUGACGAUGUUGGUUUCAAGCAGGAGCCUAAGGAGAUGUCUUUAUAUGAGCUGUUGGCCAUUUCAGAACUUGGGCAGUGAAAUGGUUAAUUCAUUAGAAAGAAACAGAU